rnacentral:tRNA from 1 species
AGUAUAGCAAUUACCUUGGUCUUGUAAGCCAAAAACGGAGAUUACCUACCCUCCCUAAGACUCAAGGAAG